UACAGAGGUCCCGAGCGUUUGUUCGGAUUCACUGGGCGUAAAGGGUGCGUAGGUGGCUUGAAAAGUUUGAUGUGAAAGCUCAGGGCUUAACCCUGAAAUGGCAUUGAAUACUGUCGGGCUGGAGGUUUGGAGGGGGGACUGGAAUUCUUGGUGUAGCAGUGAAAUGCGUAGAUAUCAAGAGGAACACCAGUGGCGAAGGCGAGUCCCUGGACAACACCUGACACUGAGGCACGAAAGCUAGGGGAGCAAACGGG
rnacentral:rRNA from 1 species